rnacentral:rRNA from 1 species
AAGUCGUAACAAGGUUUCCGUAGGUGAACCUGCGGAAGGAUCAUUACAGAGUUCAUGCCCUCACGGGUAGAUCUCCCACCCUUGAAUACUAUACCUUAGUUGCUUUGGUAGGCCGUGGAAACACCACGGGCUCCGGCCUGUGUGUGCCUGCCAGAGGAAACAAACUCUGUUUUUAGUGAUGUCUGAGUACUAUAUAAUAGUUAAAACUUUCAACAACGGAUCUCUUGGUUCUGGCAUCGAUGAAGAACGCAGCGAAAUGCGAUAAGUAAUGUGAAUUGCAGAAUUCAGUGAAUCAUCGAAUCUUUGAACGCACAUUGCGCCCUGUGGUAUUCCGCAGGGCAUGCCUGUUCGAGCGUCAUUUCAACCAAUCAAGCCUAGGCUUGGUCUUGGGGUAUGCGGGUUUCCGUAGCCUCUAAAAUCAGUGGCGGUGCUAGUUAGCUCUGAGCGUAGUAAUACUCCUCGCUAUAGAGUCUAGGUAGUGUCUUGCCAACAACCCCCCAUUUUUUCAGGUUGACCUCGGAUCAGGUAGGGAUACCCGCUGAACUUAAGCAUAUCAAUAAGCGGAGGAAAAGAAACCAACAGGGAUUACCUCAGUAACGGCGAGUGAAGCGGUAACAGCUCAAAUUUGAAAUCUGCCAACAGGCCGAGUUGUAAUUUGUAGAAGAUGCUUUGGGUAUGGCCCCGGUCUAAGUUCGUUGGAACACGACGUCAUAGAGGGUGAGAAUCCCGUAUGUGACUGGGUGCUUUUGCCUAUGUAAAGCUCUUUCGACGAGUCGAGUUGUUUGGGAAUGCAGCUCAAAAUGGGUGGUAUAUUUCAUCUAAAGCUAAAUAUUGGCCAGAGACCGAUAGCGCACAAGUAGAGUGAUCGAAAGAUGAAAAGCACUUUGGAAAGAGAGUUUAACAGUACGUGAAAUUGUUGAAAGGGAAGCGCUUGCAACCAGACUUGCACGCUGUUGAUCAUCCAGGCUUCUGUCUGGUGCACUCGGCAGUGUUCAGGCCAGCAUCGGUUUCGGUGGUGGGAUAAAGGCCUUGGGAAUGUAGCUUCUUUCGGGGAGUGUUAUAGCCCUCGGUGCAAUGCCGCCUAUCGGGACCGAGGACCGCGCUUCGGCUAGGAUGCUGGCGUAAUGGUUGUAAGCGACC